GCUGGCUGCAACUGUUUAUUAAAAACACAGCACUGUGCAAACACGAAAGUGGACGUAUACGGUGUGACGCCUGCCCGGUGCCGGAAGGUUAAUUGAUGGGGUUAUCCGUAAGGAGAAGCUCUUGAUCGAAGCCCCGGUAAACGGCGGCCGUAACUAUAACGGUCCUAAGGUAGCGAAAUUCCUUGUCGGGUAAGUUCCGACCUGCACGAAUGGCGUAAUGAUGGCCAGGCUGUCUCCACCCGAGACUCAGUGAAAUUGAACUCGCUGUGAAGAUGCAGUGUACCCGCGGCAAGACGGAAAGACCCCGUGAACCUUUACUAUAGCUUGACACUGAACAUUGAGCCUUGAUGUGUAGGAUAGGUGGGAGGCUUUGAAGCGUGGACGCCAGUCUGCGUGGAGCCAACCUUGAAAUACCACCCUUUAAUGUUUGAUGUUCUAACGUUGGCCCCUUACCGGGGUUGCGGACAGUGUCUGGUGGGUAGUUUGACUGGGGCGGUCUCCUCCCAAAGCGUAACGGAGGAGCACGAAGGUUAGCUAAUCCUGGUCGGACAUCAGGAGGUUAGUGCAAUGGCAUAAGCUAGCUUGACUGCGAGCGUGACGGCGCGAGCAGGUGCGAAAGCAGGUCAUAGUGAUCCGGUGGUUCUGAAUGGAAGGGCCAUCGCUCAACGGAUAAAAGGUACUCCGGGGAUAACAGGCUGAUACCGCCCAAGAGUUCAUAUCGACGGCGGUGUUUGGCACCUCGAUGUCGGCUCAUCACAUCCUGGGGCUGAAGUAGGUCCCAAGGGUAUGGCUGUUCGCCAUUUAAAGUGGUACGCGAGCUGGGUUUAGAACGUCGUGAGACAGUUCGGUCCCUAUCUGCCGUGGGCGCUGGAGAAUUGAGGGGGGCUGCUCCUAGUACGAGAGGACCGGAGUGGACGCAUCACUGGUGUUCGGGUUGUCAUGCCAAUGGCACUGCCCGGUAGCUAAAUGCGGAAGAGAUAAGUGCUGAAAGCAUCUAAGCACGAAACUUGCCCCGAGAUGAGUUCUCCCUGAGACUUUAAGUCUCCUGAAGGAACGUUAAAGACGAUGACGUUGAUAGGCCGGGUGUGUAAGCGCAGCGAUGCGUUGAGCUAACCGGUACUAAUGAACCGUGAGGCUUAACCUUACAACGCCGAAG
rnacentral:rRNA from 1 species